rnacentral:rRNA from 1 species
UACGUAGGGUGCAGGCGUUAAUCGGAAUUACUGGGCGUAAAGCGUGCGCAGGCGGUCUAUUAAGACAGGUGUGAAAUCCUCGGGCUUAACCUGGGAACUGCGCUUGUAACUGAUAGGCUUGAGUGUGGCAGAGGGGGGUGGAAUUCCACGUGUAGCAGUGAAAUGCGUAGAGAUGCGGCGGAACACCGAUGGCGAAGGCAGCCCCCUGGGCUGAGAUUGACGCUCAGGCACGAAAGCGUGGGGAGCAAACAGG